rnacentral:rRNA from 1 species
UACAGAGGGUGCAAGCGUUGUUCGGAAUUAUUGGGCGUAAAGCGCGUGUAGGCGGCUUUGUUAAGUCGGGUGUGAAAAGCCCUCAGCUCAACUGAGGAAGUGCGCCCGAAACUGGCGAGCUUGAGUGUCGGAGAGGAUGGCGGAAUACCCCAAGUAGAGGUGAAAUUCGUAGAUAUGGGGGUGGAACACCGGUGGCGAAGGCGGCCAUCUGGACGACAACUGACGCUGAGACGCGAAAAGCGUGGGGAGCAAACAGG